rnacentral:rRNA from 1 species
AUUGAACGCUGGCGGCAGGCCUAACACAUGCAAGUAGAACGAGUCGCGGACGGGUGAGAAAUGUAUGGGACACUGCCUGUUGGGGGGGGAUACCCACUGGAAACGGUACCUAAUACCGCAUAACUUCAGUUGUGCCCAGAUGGGCUUAGCUUGUUGGCGGGGUAACGGCUCACCAAGGCGACGACCCCUAGCUGGUCUGAGAGGAGGACCAGCCACACGGGAACUGAGACACGGUCAAGACUCCUACGGGAGGCAGCAGUGGGGAAUAUUGCACAAUGGGCGCAAGCCUGAUGCAGCCAUGCCGCGUGUAUGAAGAAGGCCUUCGGGUUGUAAAGUACUUUCAGCGGGGAGGCGUUACCCGCAGAAGAAGCACCGGCUAACUCCGUGCCAGCAGCCGCGGUAAUUC